GAUGAACGCUGGCGGCGUGCCCAAUACAUGCAAGUCGAGCGAACGGACGAGAAGCUUGCUUUUCUGAUGUUAGCGGCGGACGGGUGAGUAACACGUGGAUAACCUACCUAUAAGACUGGGAUAACUUCGGGAAACCGGAGCUAAAACCGGAUAAUAUUUUGAACCGCAUGGUUCAAAAGUGAAAGACGGUCUUGCUGUCACUUAUAGAUGGAUCCGCGCUGCAUUAGCUAGUUGGUAAGGUAACGGCUUACCAAGGCAACGAUGCAUAGCCGACCUGAGAGGGUGAUCGGCCACACUGGAACUGAGACACGGUCCAGACUCCUACGGGAGGCAGCAGUAGGGAAUCUUCCGCAAUGGGCGAAAGCCUGACGGAGCAACGCCGCGUGAGUGAUGAAGGUCUUCGGAUCGUAAAACUCUGUUAUUAGGGAAGAACAUAUGUGUAAGUAACUGUGCACAUCUUGACGGUACCUAAUCAGAAAGCCACGGCUAACUACGUG
rnacentral:rRNA from 1 species